rnacentral:tRNA from 1 species
GAGGCAGUAGCUCAGUGGUAGAGCUUCCGCUUCGUAUACGGGAAGACCUGGAUCCUGUUCUCGGCUGCUUCC